rnacentral:rRNA from 1 species
GACGGAGGAUGCAAGUGUUAUCCGGAAUCACUGGGCGUAAAGCGUCUGUUAGGUGGUUCAAUAAGUCAACUGUUAAGUCUUGAGGCUCAACUUCAAAAUCGCAGUCCGAAACUAUUGGACUCGAAGUAUAGUAGGGGUAAAGGGAAUUUCCAGUGGAGCGGUGAAAUGCGUAGAGAUUGGAAAGAACACCAAUGGCGAAAGCACUUUACUGGGCUAUUACUGACACUGAGAGACGAAAGCUAGGGUAGCAAAUGG